rnacentral:miRNA from 14 species
GAGAGAGAAGGAGAAAGAGAAGAACGGGAAGAGGAGAGGGAUGAGACGAUGAACAAGGGAACGAGAUAAAAGAGGGAGGGACGAGACCGAAGAGGAUGAAGAGGAACAACCAUUUGUCUUUCUUCUUCUUUUUCUUUUUCACCUCCUCUUCCUCUCACUUCCUCCAUCCCU